GCCUGUGUGGGGCUGCAUUCCUCAUGUGGACACCUCAGCUUCGUGAGGCUGUGGGCCUUGCCUCUUUGGUUCAGAUCUGGUUGGUGCCUUACUUUAUGAAACUGCCUGAUGAUCAAUAAGGACACUUCAUGUGUGUGUAAAAGGAGAAGACUGGCAUGAACCCUGCAGAACUCGCUCGGCAACAGCUUCAUGCAGUGUAGAACAGAACAUCAAUGAGCAGCAGCCAAAUUAAUCUACAAACAACAGCAGUGAUGACAACAGCCCUUGAAGAAGCUACUUGAAGGAUUUGUUUGCAUGGAUAAAUCAGUGUUUCUUCCAUGUCUUCACCACUCCUUACUUAAGUUGGUCUGGCUGACUACCUUUGAGUGAGUACCAACAGUAAUUCAGAGUGAGACAGUUUUAAUGUAUUUCUUCAGUGAGAUGAAAAACACAAACCACCAGACCAUGGAUACAGUUACAUGUGUAGAAAAAUCAUCUAUCUGAACAGUUUGUCUGUGGGGAAAGAAGAAUAUAUGUAGAGGUUGUUUGUCUUUGCAAAUUGUUUGGUGGAUUGUGCUGAAGUGAAUACAUUAGUAGAUAUGAAACUGUUCUUUGACAGUCUGUUCAAGGCGGCAUGAAAACCUCACCCAUCCUGACAGAUUUUGUGAAGAAGCAAGGGCAAUGUGCAGAACUCCUCAUGGAGAAUACCACCACUAAAAUUACAUGCUGGAGCAUUGUUGCUGGGACAGAUAGCUGAAAGUGUUACGGAGGAAAAAAAAAAAAAAAAAGACUGGGAUAGAUUUUGGAGAGCAAUGGCCUUGGCAGACAAUAUGCAAAUACCGUAGUGAUGGACAUAUCACUACAGUGAAUCCUAGGGAACAACUGCUGUAAUUCAAGUACAGCAAAUCACACAGCUCAGAUAAGACUCAUCCAAGAGUGCCAGAGGAAAUAAAGUGUGAAAUAGCAGAAACACCGAUGAGGAAGCUGAAUAUAGGGGCCUGUAAACAUAGAGCAAAAAAGAAGCUAGUUUGUGCACUGUGUAUUCCACCUGUAGAAUUUACUGCCAGACUGGAGUCAUUGAAUGAAACCCAGACACAAGGCAAAAAGGAUUGGUUCAUGCAGUGACUUGAUGAUAAUCAUGGUUAUUCAUGUGAUAGACAUUCUGCUUUCCAUUUUUGCUACACAGAGACUUAAGGGGGAGGAAAGGUUAGAAAAAGUGUCACAUUCUUCAGCCAACUGUAGUAUUACCAAUGGAUACAUUAUAAGGUUUACCAUUCUCUGGAGGUUCAAGACUGGCCAUUCCCCAGGGCCAAAGACUAUUUCUGAAUGAGUAGACUUGUCUGUUGAAGCAGAUUGCUUUAGAGGGUAUUUGUCUAUGAAGCCUCUGGUCCAUGAUCAGCGUCUUCAUCAGAUUUACCACAAGAAACAUAUUUCAGUGACAGAGUCUGCUGAUUGUUACGUUGACUCUGUGUUUGGUGGCAAAUGUAUUCAAGGACUUACAUCUUGUAUCUCUGUUGCACAAUGCUUGAGUGUCUCUCAACUGCAGGGUCAUGACUGUAGAGUUAGAGUACGAGGACACUAACAGCUAUGGGAUAGCGUCUGCAUCUGAGGCUCUCAUGGCCACAAACAGGUUUCUUUACUGAGGGAAGAAGAGUAGGGAGGAUUGCAUCAUUUGUAAAGGAGCUUCUUGACAGUACAGAGCACUGAUAUGAAAUUGGAAACUUGUCUUUUGGUGGUCUUUGGAUCAAGAUCAGUUAACCUUGGAGAUAUUAUGUAAUGGAUAUGCUACAAUCUGCUCACCGAAAGUAUGAGAUAAACAAGGCUUACUGCAAGUAACAAGUGGAAAUCUCCCAGCUGUAGCUUACCUUUUUCAAAGGGAGCUUAAUAUCCACACAUUGUCUAGGAGGUCAGCAUGGUACUGUGCAAGCAGCUGAGAUAGUUCCUUGAUUGCAUUGCUGGUGACAUCCCUAAACUAAUGCUUGACAGGCCAACCAGGACAGGUUCACAGAAAGUGAGCCAGAAUUACUGGUAAAAGUGACUCUAAGCUAAUGGCUGUGGAUACAGUGACCAGGAGAUGAUUGAGCUCAGGAUGGGGAGGAAAGAUGGGAAAGCAGCAGAGUUAGGUCUUUGGAAUAAAAGACAGUAGGAAGUUGCUAGGAGGGUGGUUGGUUUUUUUAAAAAAAUAAUAUAUAUUAGCUCAAUAUAAUAUAUAUAAUUAUAUAUAUAAAUAAAUAUAUAUAAUAAUAUACAUAAUACAUAUAAAGCUCAAGCACAAGCUAUCCAACUGUGAUGGCUAAUCACAAACUGGCUAUUUCAUGAGAAGAUACCCUUGACUAAGCCAGGAACUUAUUUGCAAACUAAAAAAAAAAAAAAAAAAAAAAGCAAGAAGUGGAAACCAGCAAAAGCAACAAAGGAGAAUUCUAUUGAGGAAAAAUUUGGAAAAAACUUGUCAGAUGUCUCAAUCACUUGCUUGCUAGGGAGAAGGCCAAAGCUCAGGUGGAGAUAAACCCAAGUCUAGUCUAGAAGAUGACAACUUCAGUAGAUAUGCUAGUAGUAAGAGGAAGUUUAGAGAAAACAAGGAGCUGUUGUUGAGUGGAGAAGACAAUCUAGUCCAUAGUAAUCGAUAAUUCAUUAUCUGGUAUGCAUUUUGGAACAAACACAAAAGAGGUUUACAUUGUUCAGUAAUUUCAUCAUAAUUUACUUGGAUGCUAAGAACACUACUGGUGGAUGAUACUAAAUUAGAAAGAGGUGUUAUUAAGCUGUAAAGUAAAACCUCAAUCCAGGUGCACUUCAAGAAAUGUAAAUUAUGCACGUGGGAAUAAAAACCUUAUUCAGGCACAAAUGCAGGCUGAAACUGACAAGAUGACUAGCAGUGUUCAUGUAAAUGCCUGUAGCUAGUAGUGAAUACCAAGGCAAAUAUGUCUCGUUUUGGGUUCCACAUCAAGAGGGGUAAGGAGAAAGAAUGUCAGAGGGCUACCAAGAUAGUUUGAAGCCUAGAGCACAUGACCUUCAAGAAGUUGAGAGAUCUAGACUUGUUCAGUGUGAAGUGAAAGUUAUCUGAUAGCAACUUAGAACAACUGGAAGGGAAUUUAUGAUUUGAUGGAGCCAAACCCUUUCAUUUGAAGAACAUAAAAUGAAAAGAAGCAGUGACCAUUUACUGUAGUUUGGGAGAUUCACAUUAAACAUUUUGGAAAAAUUCCUCGCAAAGUACAGGAUUUUAGCAAUGGAAGAAUGAGGGACUGCAGGAUCUCUACUGUUGGAGGUUUUCAUGACCUGUCUAGGCAAGGUCAUGUCAGGCCUGAUCUACAGCUAGUGAUGGUUUUGCUUCAGGGCAAAGGCUGAACUAUACAGUUUCCAGAGGAAUCUUCCAACACUCUAUGAAUCAAAGAGUAACUCAAGAUUAAAUGCAUUGUUUUCUUCAUACACAGCAUGUGUCUGAUUUCCACUGCAUCAAAAUAGACUUGUUUAGAUAAAAUUCAGGAGCUGCUCUCAGACUGUUCUUUUAUAUCUCCUUUGCCUUAAGAGUGCCAAGGGAAUUAUGCUUCUGUAACUUGGCAGGAGACCUAUAGCUUAGGAUAAAACCUAUUUUCAUGCUGUUUUGUCUUAUAUCACCUUUGGCAAGAAGGAGAGCAUAUUUUGCUUUGCAAUGUCACUUUAUUUGAGAGGAUCCUCUUGAGUUAGUAGCAGCCGCGAAGGUCAAGAGAUUAGAGAGGAAAACUAAUUGCAUGCUAUAAACAAACCAAAUGUACUUCAUUCUGCACUAGGGUUUUUAUCAGCUCUUGUUUUAUCAGAAAUCAAUCCGUCCCUUCACAGUUUACUCGUUCAUAGGAUAACAAAUUAGAGUUUGCAGUAGUAAAUAUGGAAACUAUAGCUAUAAUUCAUCAGUUCUUUUAUCUCUGAUAAGCUUGCAUUAUUCACAAUAGAAGGUCCAUCUCUCAUUUUACCAGGGAAUGUGACAUUUGUUUCUUCAUUUAUAAACCAUUUAUACAGAUAAACUCACAGAGCAGAGUCCACAAACAUACCUGAAGUAACUUCCCAGUACAAUUGAACUGAAUAGACUUGGUUGUUUAUAGCUUGCAAAGUUCUAUUUUGCCUAGAAACAAGUCUUCAAAACUUGGAAGCCCCCUUUUCUGGGUGUUAUAAUGUAACAAACCUUAGAACUAUAUUCUCCCUAUGUGAAUUGGUAUUACAGCCUUUGCCGUCAGUGCAUGAUUUCUUUGAGCUUCAGUCACAGAAACCCACAUGCAGCUAAAACACAGGCUUUAAACAGCUCUCUGCAGUCUUCUUUCAGAGUCAUCUAGGCUCAAAACACAAGUGGGAACGUGUGAUUAACACCCACCAAAAAAAAAAAAAAAAAAAAAAAAAAAAAGGAAAAGAAAAAGAAAAAAAAAGAAAAGAAAGGAAAGGAAAGAAAGAAAGAAAAAGAUCCAACUCAUCCUCCACACUCCACAAAAGGACUUCUCAGAAGAAUGUUGUUUACCCAGCAUCAUAGGAAGUGUCUGGUACGGAAGAAAUGUGGGAAAAAGUUCAUACACAUGCUUUAAGAAAUAUCCAGGAAAAGAAAAAAGAGAAACUAGAACAGAAAGGGGAAGACAGAGAAGGUCAUGAAACUCCAAAGGCAGACAUUUUCUGGGACUAAGCUCUGCGUGGCAUGAUGGUGGGGCAAGAUCUGGCAGUAGGAUACUACCUUCCCAUCUGACAGUGCUGUCAGAUGGGAUGCCCAGGCUUUCCUCCCCCCAGGUGCAGGCUCUUGCAGACCUACGUGCAAAGCACAGCCAUUUGCUAUGACAGAGGGAAGAGGAGAAGGAGGAUUUAGGAGAGGCCAGCACAGCUUCAGCUGCCUCCUCUGUGUCUCCCUCCAGUCCCCAGCUUGGCCAUGAGCCCUUAGACCUAGGUCAGAAGGAUGUACCAGCAACCAGGAGUUACUAACUGCAAGUAGUUUUACUGCUGAAUUUGUAGGAGAGAAAGAGAGAGAAAAUGUCUCUGAAGACCUAGUAUUCUGUUACUAUUCUUUUCUCACCUGUUUCAGAUGAGAAUCGUUUCAGUGAGACUGCUGAUUUCUUUGUUACUUCUUUCUGUCUCAUUUGAUGCCUGCUGCUGGUUUUUUUCUUCUAUCUGGAUAUCUUUUUUUUUCUAUUUGAGAUUAUUAAAAUGUAGUCCUUUCCUUCAGAGAGUAGCCCUUGCCCUGUCAUGAAAUAAAAUCAAAUUGAACGGAAAGGCUUUACUUGGAGUUUGGAGAGGAACUGAGCAGUUUUAACAAGAACAGACAUAAACACCCCCAGACUGCUUGUACUGCCAAUCUGAGCUACCUUAUUCAUGUUAAGAUAUUGAUGAUCUAUUUUCAAGGUGGGAUAUCUACUGCUUUGCAACUUUUGUAUAUGAAGUGUUUUUCUGUAAUUUAAAUACCUCUCAAAGACAACAUCACAUCAAGUUUUCUCACAUUUCUUACUAUCUAACUACCUACUUUUCCUUGCCAUUAAUGCAUCUGAAUAAAUGCCUUACACUAUUAAAUAAGUAUUUUUUUACAUCCUGUUAGAAGGGAGCAGAAAAAAAUCCUAGCUUUGUCAAUGUGUUGCUGCUGAUUUAGUGAGCGUACAUUUGCAAACCAGUAAAGCACACACAAUAUUUUCCUCCAGUCUCCUGCUUGCUCUCCAUUUCUGUUGACAGCAUGGAUAAUUCUGGACCUGCUAAUUCUCUGCUUGUGGUGCUUAAUGCUCUUGCCAGAGCACUCAUUACUAGAAAGAGUCUGAGGAUCAAACUCAUCCCUAGGGUAAUCCAGUGCAACACUGACUGAAGUCAAUAAGAGUUGUGCCUGCCUAUGCCAGAGCUGUAUUAAUCACUGAAACCAUCUCCAAUGCAUAGGUGCCUUGCUAUGUUUAUUCUGUCCCACCAUGCCCUGUACAUUAAGAAGAGAAUAAGAGACAAAAAGUUUAUGCUGUUCUAAUGUCUGCCAGUAACAAGACUGGAGAUUCACAGCAUCUGAAACCAAUCAGUGUAGCAAAGUGCUCUGCAGCUACACAAAGCACUCCAUUUUAACUUUGCAUCUAAUUGUGCAUUAUAGAGGAUCUUUCAAUAUGCUCUUCUAGGCUGCGCUAGCAAACUUAGUAAUAUGCACUCACUUGCUGACUUGCUUAAAAAAGGAAAAUUAAAUACAUUUCUCAUAUGGCUAUAUUGUGGAAUUUUUCCACACUAUUAAAUAUAAUGUUGCUCUAGCUUAUUGGCAUUUUUUGAGAGAAAACAUUUCUUAAGUUAAACUAACUGAGCUGUGUGGGACUUUCUGUUUGUGCCCACUGUGUUUUUUUUUUUUUUCUCCAACACAUGCAGUAUUUCUGCUGUUGUGCCAGCAACUUAUCUAAGGUAGAAAAUCAGUGGCUUUCUCAUCUCUUACCAGAACAGAUCAGGAGACAUUCUUCUGAAGUCAGCAGGGCUAGGCUGGUAUACAGGAAGAGAAAAUCAUGUUCGGCAUGAUCAGCUCUGUAAAAGAAAACAAGCUACAACCAUUAUAAUGAAUAACUGAGUUACACAAAGUUAUUCCUUAUUCCGCUCUUUAAUGUGGUUUGAGUGACAGUGAGUGGGACACUACAGCAGUGACAUUUCGGGAGUAAUUAAGAAAAAUAGUUGCAUGUGCUGUGCAUUUCUUUUGUGAGAAACGACCACGAGAAAGAAAUUCUUUGAAACAAUGGUAUUUCUUUGUUCAUGUAUUAUGCACACACCUGUGUAUUCACACAGGUUAAUGGCAGGGCAAAGGGAGCCUUAGUGCAAAUGUGAUAGCCUGAGCAAAGAAAAUACAAAGGAAAGUUAUACUGACAGACAGACAGAAAGGUUUAAUGUUAGUUAUUGGAGCUACUGGAACUGAUACUUUGAGCUAGGGUUUCUUAACAUUAAGGCUUCCUUCUCUGUCUUCCUGAAAAGCCUAUUACAUAAGUCUAGUUAUUGGGUUAGACUCAUUUAAAAUCCAGCCUUGUGUCACCUAUUAAGCUAACAGAUGUAGAUCCACAGAUGGAUGAAUUACUACUAGCUUCAAAGAUGCUUGGCUCAUGUAAAGGAAUUGAGGUGCUAUAUGAUGUUUGGGAUUUUUUUCCAUUGACAUAUCCACAUGAGAUAUACUUUGCUAGGCACUAACUUGCUUGGCCUUUUAGUCUCAGUCAGAAAUUUUCUAUUAAAAAUAAAAAAUGAUCCUAACAGGGAGAUACCAAACAUCCAUCCUUUAAUCUCUGGGGUCCUUCAACCAAUUUGAAAGUCAACAUUGGAGGAAGUAAUUUUUUUCCAGUUUGUUUCAGUCUCAUCCCCUACAGUUGUUUAAAUUGGCCCAGCAUGCAGGAGUUUUAAAUUAGCUGAAUAGUAAAAUAAACCCAUUGUGUAUAGCUUUUAUAACAUUUGCACAGCAAAAUAUGUCUGUGUAAUAAAACACAGAUAAAAAUACAUAUUUUACCUACAGGCUAUUAGGAGGGUGUAUUUACCACACAAUAAUACAGAAGGGAUAUAUAUUAUACAACAACAACAAAAAUCCCUAGCUGUAGAUUCUGCCUUCAACAGGUCUGAAUCUCAUCUAUGUUACAGGUUAUCAGCAUAUUCUUGGUCCUGUGCAUCCCUGACCGAGAUACAGAUAAGUUAUGUACAUCCGUGCAACCCGGGCUAUGUGUAUGCAUGUGGCCAUGAACACUCCAUGCAUGCUGAUAUCUGCAUGUGCUAUGAUGUAGUAUGCCGUAUGACAUGCUGCUCAGAAAGAUAGCAUGGAACGAUCUGCUCUUUAAGGUCAUUUGUAAAAUUAUUAUAAACGGUUGCUUAGGAUUGGGCUAAAUAUAGUCACCAGCAGAGUUCUUGCUUAUUUUGAAACAAACAAACAAACAAAAAAAAAACCAGUCUGUUGAGUGAAAUUUUAUUGUUUCAGAACUAAAAUUUGGUUUCAUUUCUUCAAAGUGAGGCAGACCUUCAUGUUAUGUUCUUAUUAUUAAGAAACACUCAGGAGAAUAUGUUAGAUUUACAGAUGGUCCCUAAAAAAUAAGUCCAGUGAGAAAUGCCUUACAGCAUGCAUCAACAUUUGUUGCUGUUAUUUGUUUGGAAUCUGAUUAAGAAAAAAACAAAUAGUUUAGUUUUAUGUUAUGUUUAGGACAUAAGUAACCUAAAAACAUCCCAAUAGCCUAUUAUAAUUACAUGAGUUACGUCCAUUUUGAAAUCUCAGAAUCUCUCACCGGCAGAGAUUUGUAUUGAUACAGGCAACUUUAGGGAAACCAAAUGGUAAUACAGGGUCUUGUCCUCGCUAUAAAAUGUUAAAUCCUGCAAAACUAACUGAAUGUUGACUCUAAGUUAAUUGUUGAUUGAUAUUAUUGAUAUAAUUGAUAUAAUUGUUGAUUGAUAACUGAAUGUUGAUUGUAAGUUAAUACAAAAUAAAAACGUGAAAAGAUGUCAUUCAAUGCAUCAAAGAGCACCUCAAGAGCAGAGCGUUGCAAGACUGCUGAUCAGCAAAAGCAAUGGCAUAAUGGAAAGAAAAAGUUAUUUCUUCUCAUCUUCCAAAAUGUAGCAUCAGUGCAGGUGAGGUGAUGGAUUUUACCUUCACAGAAGUACAGCCUGCCAGGCAAUAUACUUGGUACACAUACUGAGACUCCCAGGUCUCAGCCUCUCCAGAAACUGCAAAAUGGCUACACCGAAAAAAAAAAAAAAAAAGCAAACCAGUUUUUAGAGGGGAGGAGGCUUAACUGUGUGCCCCGGAUUUAGAAAUCGGAGUCGUCCUUGAAGCAAGAAAACAACAAGCAUGUCCUGCUCUCCGCAAGUUGGAGCAGGUGUUGUGUAGAGGGAGUCUUCCUUGGAGACAUGAUUAAAUGAAAUUGUUGGUUUUGUUUUUGUUUUUGUUUUUUAAUUGUGGCUUGUGACACAGCAACUUUUCCAUUCUUCUCUUCUGCUGAUUGAUUUUCACUUUGCAAAAGGAAGAGUAAUCUGUUGUACAUCAAAUAUUACUUUAUAGAUAAUCAGUACUAUCUGCUUCAGCAUUUGCCAGGUUUCAGGGGAAAAAAAUUUUUUUGGAGGCUUCCUCUACAUCCAAAUUCCAUAAAGAACUCACUGGAAUACAUUCAGAGAUGGUGGGUAAGGUUGAGGUUUGAUAUUACUCAUUUAAUAAUCAAAUCUCCUAUGAUGUAGACCCUUCUGGAGUUUUAUGAGAGCAAACUGAGCAUGAAGAAAAUGAUGUGUGUAAUCUUUAAGUAACACAAAUUUGCUAUGGUAGCUCUUCUCUUUCCUUUAGUUUCUGAAUACACCAAAUCUUAGUUAAUAACAUGAACUUUCCUUCUUGCGCGGUUGCAAAAAAAGCUGUCUGUGGUGACCUGAUGUUUCACAAGAACUGCAGUCACAGCAAUUAAGUUGCAGUUUGUGCUCAGCAUACACUGUGCUCCUUUCCCCUUCCAUUUCCCUUCCCUUUCCGCUUCCCUUUCCCCUUGUAUUUCCACAUCCCUUUUCAUUUCCCCUUUCCAAAUCCUCUUUCUCUUCCCCCUCUUUUCAGCAAAUAGCUCCUACAGGACAGAGCUGGAAGGAGGAAGAGCUGAGACCUUCAGGGCUUUCCUGAAGUGUCCAGACGCCAGACACACAUCUCACUGAUGGCAGUAGGAGACCCCCAGUGGAGUUGUCUGGACCACAGGAACUGUUCCUGCCCCUGGUCCAGGGGUACCAGGCAGAAGUGGGGUUCGGUGCAGUAGGGCUCACCCUUGUUGCUGGAUUCACCACCAGCACUUUAACUGAAACAGCUGGUUAUUUGGGAACUGGGGCCAUAGUCUUUUAAAUUAUUAUUUCUGAUUUCACUGGCUGCACUUCACUGUGAACACACACUGGCGCUAGGGAUUUCAUUUUCUGGAACUCCAGUUUGUGUCAAUUUCUGACCAAUUAAGUUUGGCAGUUUCUCUUUAAAAUGGUGUUCCCUUCUUUCCCAACAAUUGCCUUACUUAUCAUCCUUACAAGUCCUCAGAAUAGUUAAAAAGAAAAAAAAAAAAAAGAGAGAGAGAGAAAAGAAAAGAAAGAAAGAAAGAAAGAAAGAAAGAAAGAAAGAAAGAAAGAAAGAAAGAAAGAAAGAAAGAAAGAAAGAAAGAAAGAAAGAAAGAAAGAAAGAAAGAAAGAAAGAAAGAAAAAGAAAGAAAAGGAAAAAAGAAAAUAAAAGAAAAAAAGGAAUAAACCCCCAGUAAAGGAACACAAGGCACAUCUAUGUCAGAAAACUCUUGUUAGUGAUUUCUGAAGCACUUUUGUCACUGAAACUUAAAGCAAGAAUAACAAAACCCCACUAUAAAGGAGGACUGAAACAUUGUUUCUCCCUUUUACCUCUUUGUAUUAUCAUCUCACUCUGAUUCAACUAAAGCUGCACAGAGGGAGGAAACUGCGGUCUCGGUUCCUCUGAUUUUUGUAGCAGAUCUAAUUUUAGAAUCUGUUGUGUCAAGUUUUUCUAAACCUGUCAGUUUAAUUUGGCAGAUGCGGGUUAAUGGAGACCUACUGAAAGCAGGGUGAAAAUCUAUCUGAGUAGAAGAACAUAAUUCAUGACUUUCACAGUGCAGCAGUAAGGUAACAGACAAAUGUCUCUUCAGUAAAGUAACAGAUAAAUGUCUCUUCCUUGAAGUUGUAACAGGAAUCCAUAGACAAAAAAAAAAAAAAAAAAAAAAAAAAAAAAAAGAAAAAGAAAAAGAAAAACCACUAAUGGCCAUGUAAAGAAAAAAACCUGCUUCUAUGUUAGAUGGCCCCUUAUCUUCAAAUUCUGAAGUGGCAGCUGCAAAAAGAUCAAGACAGGUAGAGCGGCAUAAGGCAGAGGCUUAGGCACAAAAAGCUUUAAAUGGAAGCAGAGCACUUCAGGCACCGUGAUACAAAUCAGCAGUGGCGGAAGAAGCCUUUCAAGAAAAUAAUUUAAUAUUUGUUAAAUAAUUUGUAAGAAUUAUUACAAUAUUACUUAGUUCACUUCAGCCCCAGACUGCCAGUGAGUCAGGACUCCGGAAAAUGCUGUCCUGACUGGACACUGGUCCAUUUAGGUAACUUAAUACAUAAAUCUAAUGUAGAGAGCUGAGUGAAAUUCAACUUUCUAAUUGCAUUAUACUAGUUCUGUAGUGAUUUCCAUUCUGUUUAAAACAAAAACAAAACAAAACAAAACAAAAAGGCAACCCACCUACAUAUCAGCAUUCAGACCCCAGGACAGUGAACCCUAUAAACCAAGGGUCUUACAGGGACAGUUCAAAGUCCCCCCGUCUCUCCUGCAUACUGGGGGCAGCUCCCCUCAGAGCUUCAUGGAGGUCUCCUGAAUCAAUCUCCAAUUGCCUUGGAGGCUGUCAGAUGGUCCUAGCAAUUCCCAUUGCCUCUUACAAGGAAGUAUGCAGAAUUUAAGCUUUAUGCUCUCCUCUUUAUGACAGGGGAAACCAAACAGUUUAGCCAUUAUCUAGAAGCAUGCUUUUGCAAGCAGGUAAAUAAAUACAUGGGCUUCUACUUGCUUGUGAAAAUGUGAGGAAAUAAGCCAUCAUUCAGUAUGGCAUAUGGUACACUGUACGAGUGACCCUGGAAAAGGAAGUCUGGAAGGUUGCAGAGGAGUUACUUUUAUACACUCAGAAACUGUCAAACAAUACCAUGAUGCACUCCAGAGCAGGCAGUCACAGCCUUAAUGUAUGUCUAGCAGCAUCUCCACCAGGGUAAGAGGAGAAAGAACCUCUCACAGAAUUGAGCCAUGCCAAAUUGCACAGCUAAACACUGUAGAAGUCAGGCCUUUUAUUUUCCUUAGAGUGAAGAAGAAACCCUAACACUUAUAAAAUUUCUUCCUGAGAAUUUUUUUUAGCUUGGAGAGCAUCACUUGCAGGACAUUCUGUAAGCCAGCAACAAAGCAAGGGUGAUCAGCACAGCACCACUCUGGAGACUUAAAUCUUCAGUCCCUAGGUGCUUGUCAGUAGUGACCUUAUGUAGCUUUUCUUAAUCUCAAAAGAAUAUAUCUCAAAUGUAAAUGUAAAUGUUAAAAAAAAAAAAAAAAGGCAACAAGAAAACAGGGGACUCCCAGAGCAAUGUGACAGCUGAAAUAACAUCAGAAGAGAAUAAAAAAGUAGGCAUAUCAAUUAUACUGUUUUUGUAGUAAGCUGCCCUCCACUUGCAUUUAAGUUCUAUAUAUAUGGCCUCCAGAUUCCCAGGAAACUCAGAAAUUCUGGACAAACUGUGGGGUAGAUGGUUGCAUAUGGUAAGAACCAGGCUGUAGCUACAAAACAGUGUCAUCAGAUCUCUGACUUUUUGGCCAAUAUUCAUGUGCUUAUCCUCAAAGACUCAUUUUAGACUGCAGAUAGUUCUGAGAACUUUAGUUUUUCAGUGUCGUGAUUGUGAAAUGACCCUCUCAUGCUCAGAAUCUCCUCCCUGUAAGGUGCUUCUAGCAUAUCUUGGAUCAUUAGAAGAGGUUACAUGCUGAGGAAGAAUUUUUGGGCAAGGUUUUUUGGUAUGUAAGUCACAUCAUUCUGUUUUUGGUUCAAAAUUCAUUGGAAAAUCAUUAGUUAACUGUUCAAAUUACAGAUUUAUAGGAAAAAGGGCUGGAAGGGACCUGAAGAGGUCAUCUUUUCACCCUCCCAUGCCCUAAGGCUGAAACUCCAGGGGUGCUAAGCAUUCAGGAGUGAUUAUGUCCAGUUCUGUGAGAAGUUUGCCUUUCAGACAUGCUGAAGGGCAAAGGCCACUAAGAACAACUCUGAUCCGUUGUACCAUGCUUCAGACAUUCGCAGUUGUGGGUUAAGGGUCAGGGUCUAUCCAGAUUAUGUUCUGUUGUUGCCUAAAAAGGAAAGGCCUCUCUGAAUACUAAGAAACUGCUUUAAAGCCUUGAUUUAACAGCAGAGGAUUUGCUAUGCUGGAUCAUGGCACCAGCUCCACUAAAAUGACUCCCUCCUCAUUUGACAACCCACAUUAGAGCCUUCAAAGGGAACUCCAUUUGCCUGUACGUAAGCAGGAGAGCUACCUCAAAUGCAUUUAACAUAUGAGAGAGCCUCGGCUAGUUUGCAGAGUUUCUGUACUAUGCUUAAUGCAGUUCUAGCUUGCAAAACUAUAAAUAUUAUGAGCUGUCAUAGUGUCAUAUUCCGAGCUGUCAUAAAAUCAUUAAAAUAUCCAGAGUACUUAACUAGGGGACCUGCCACACCAGUGGAUUCCACAGACUGGCUUCUUAACAGGAAAUGCAGUAUUUCCUCAUUUGUGUUCUGAAUGCACUGACUUGAACUUCCUCAUUAUCUCUCAUAGUGUGGAACAGAGGUAACAAAAACAUUUUCAUUUUUAGUACAAUUUACGUGUUUUACUACUACCUGAAAGCUCCCUCACAUUUUCACUAUCAUUUCUUCACAACUAGUUAAACGUUCUUAUUCUAUGCAAUUUCCUCUUUCACCUCAACAAACUUUCAACAUUUUUUUGUUGACUGGCACAGAUUUUAUGCAAGUCCUGCCACUGCCUUCUUUUGUAUUAGGCCUUUCUAGCAUCUGUGUGCCAGAUGUAACACAGCUCUAACUGGAUUGGCAAGCACUGGUGUCAAUUUUAGAGUCAAAUUUGCUCUUUCCCUUCAAAAAUUACCAGUUUCCAAUGUAUAAGUAGGGUUAAAUAAUAAAAAAAUAUAACCGAAGAAUGAUCUGAAGCCACAGCAGUUGUCAAUACCUAUACUUGCAUUUAAAAAAUAAAUUAGAACAAAAUGUGGGGUUGCUUUAGUACUUGAAACUAAUGUCACUUUUCAUAGUUGGCAUGAGCUACCUGUCCCAGUUCCUUACACAAGCACUAGUCCCCAGAAACUGAAUAUACCUGAAACAAGAUUCAUCCUCCCAAGUUAGCCUUCUCUAUAGGUGAGAAGUAACCUUUUCUUCUCAUUGAGGUAGUGUUUGUAGUACUCCCUUUCAAAUAGACGCCAGAGUCAUGACUGCCAGUUGCUGUUACUGUCCUAGCAAUUACAUAUCAAGCAUGACUCAACAGUGCCACUCAAAUUCAAGGCUCAUCAACAGAAAUCACAGGUUAAAACAAUCUCAAUAACCUACCUAACAGAUCUGUAAGGAUCAGAUUCACCAGAGAGACUGGAGCACAACAUAUCAAUUACCAACCUGUAAGAAAUAUAGCUCAGGUAUUUUUCUGGAAUAAAACCUGUCUUGAAAACUUGAUUUGGGUGCAGAAAUUCUUAUUAGUCACCUGAGAAGGAGUUCCAGAAAUCUGAAAAAGAUUUGUUUAAGGGAAACAGAAAAUGGAAGGAAGAGGAAGGGAAUGAAGGGAACUAGAUCUGCUCAAGAUUCUCCCUGAAGAUCCUCCCGGCAUGGCCAACACUUGGAGAUAAAUAUGAUCAGAUCCUUGUGAUUUAGAAAGUUGGUUUCAAGUUCCUCAGGGUUUGAAUUUUUGCAUCAUAUUUUUUAACUUAUGUGAAGGUAAGCUGUAUUUAUUGAAAAUAUGAAAUAACUACUUUACAAAUGUUUUUUUUUUUUUUUUAAUUAAAAAAGCUACCCACUAGAGUGAAUCUUAUUAUUUUUGUAAUUCUGGAACAUAAGUUAACAUUAUAAAAGUAAUUUUAUUUCCCACCUCAUAUUCUUUAGAAAAAUUCAGUGCUUAAUAUAUCAUAUACAAAUUGUAAUUUUCUGCUUUAAAACACUUCACUACCAUUAACAAAUUAAUUUGCCCUUUAAUAAAUGGCAGAGUUCCACAGAACAAAAGACAUCUUAAUCAUUCCCUUGUUAUGUUCUGAACGUUCAGGGCCAUGGCAUCCAAGACUGCUAAUUCCAAUAUACAAGUCAUUUCUGUGGUUAUAUAAGAAAAGAUUCUUCUUAGAAGAUCUACUUGAUCUCCAUUAGAGAUUAAUAAGCCUGUUGUUCUCCACUGUACACAUUAAGACUAAAGAAUGUAGGAAGUUACUGGGUUGAUAAAAACAAACAGUAAAGAGGGCUGGAGAAAGUCCUGAAGUGGACUUGUUGAACUGCUAGCAAUUUGGCAUCCUGGAAGACUGUUUCAUCUUGGAUUGAUGUUAUUUUCACUUAGGAGAACUGACAUUGAAGGAGGAUGUCUAGUCUGAGUAAUUGGAGAAUGCUGCAGUAAACCAUGGGAUCCUGAUCUCAUCAUUUGGCCCACGUGCCAAAUCUUUCCUCCAGAAGCCAAGACCUAGGAAGAUUACAGUGCAGAAGGCACUGUGUUUAUCUAAUGAGGCGCAGCAUGAAAGCCAGGUCUUUGCAUGAGGGAAAGCAGUUAGGGCCAUCUAUAUCUCUGUUCAUUCUGAACACCACCUGCAUUAUGUAUUUUCUAGACUAGCAGCCCAGUACUUGCAGUCCCAUUAUUGACUGUACAAAUUAGGUUUCAGAUUCAUUACAACUUACUAGUUUAUUGGACUGUCCUGUGGUACAGCGGGAUCCACUCCUGAGUUCUACUAUCGCAGCAGAACCAUAAAAAGAGUAACAGCUAUGGUAUAUCAGGUAAUUGUUAUAAUGUAAACAAAAAUGUUAAAUUUUUGUACUUUACAUUAAAUGCCAACAAUCCAGACAAUAUUGGUUCCAUGUCUGCCUCAUUUGGGAAAAACAAAGCAAAAAAAAUAAUAAUAAAAAAAAAGAAAAAAAUUGGAAUAGCACUCAGCCUCCAAAAAGCUGAAAACAAGCUGAAAGAUAGCACUGAAAUAAUAACAUCUCUGCAGAAUUUCAAAACCUGUGAUCAGUAAAUAUUUGUAAACUUGGAAUCACAACACGUUUUGAGAGUGUAAGUUAAUACUGCUGAUAUUCAUACUAAUGCAUAAAUUGUUCUCAUAUAUAGAGCAAGCCAGUAGAAUUCUGGGGAAAAUUUCAAGACCUUUUAAUAUUUAGUGGUGCUUCCCAAACUGCAGAAUGAUAUUCCAGUCACUUUGACAUUUUGUAGAUAUACCGCAUUUGUCUUUCGAUACUAUGGGGGCUGCUCCAAAAGUAAUGCUUCCUACUUUAUUCUGUUGGCACAAGGUAUCAGAGGCAGGUAUUGAUGUGAUGGCAGUAGAGAUUGAACCACCCCACCAAUAUUCCAUUACAUGUUGAUGCUGUGUGACAGAUGGCAGCAGAGGGGCAGCCUGACAAAAUGUUGUCUGGAACAGAAGUGCAUAUGAAGCAAAGGUGUGUCGUUGUGUCAUGGUUCUGGCCUAGUUUGGCCUGUUGUGUGACUGACUAAUGGGUCAGACUGACACACGGGCCCACAUUCUGGGAAAAAAGGUAGGGAGAUGGGCCUAAAACAGCAGCAACGAGCUAAGGGAGAAAACUAUUUUACUAAACAUGAUAGUGGAAUUUGAGAUAACACAAUAUAAUACAGCAUCAUUGGAAUUGAAGUGAAUAAACCAAAUAAAAUGAGAGAGAGAGUAUCCAGAACCAAAGGCCUUACUCUAAUGCUGAAGGCAAGAUGGCUAGGGAGCACACAUCACAGAGGCGAGCAGGAGAAGAAAAAGAACUAGUUUCGUGACUCCAAACAGUUUUGUCUUUCCCUCUGAAUGAAAAAAGGAAACGGAACAGUGAAGUAUUCUGGGAUCUGUAGUUCAUUCUUUCUCUUCUGAGAACCAGACAUCUGGAACAAUCGGCAAUCCAUGGAAUGGCAGCAUUAACUCUUUAACUCCCAGUGCACUACAUGAUGUUAUGAUGUGAAAUAUCAAUAAUGGAAAUCAUAAAACCAUGACACAUUGAAUUCCUCUGUGUGGAAAAAAUGGCGCCUGUUGAUGUUAGUCAACACUUGCUUAUGGAGAUGAAAUGUGGCUGUGAGCGCAGAGAGUUGGUGAGUGAUUUGUUUCAGCAGUGGCAAUAGCAAUAUGAAAGACAAGUCCCAGGCAGCCAUGCACAGCUGUCACACCAUGAAAUGAACAUCACCUCAACCAGAUCGCCCAUGCAAAUGAGCUAGUGGUGGUGAGUAUGUUGAAAAACAGUGUUAUGUAUGUAUUUUUCUCAAUCAAAUAGUGCUAUUGUGCUCUUUGUAUCUGUUGUACUUUCCAUGGAAACAAAUAGGAGGCAUUUCUUUCGGAGUGACUAACAUACAGAAGUAAUCUCUUUUUCCCCUGCACUCCCUUCUUGGUGUUGUAACAGUCUCUAAUAUACGAACUGCACAUUUUCUGUUUUUGUACUUUAGUUGAUCUACUUGAUCUAUGGAAAGUAAAACUUAAGUUUAUAUUUUUGUAACAAGUUUUCAGAUUAUCAGACUCAUUUACUUCUUCCCUCUACCUCUUCUUUGUUUGCAAGAAAACAAUUAAUAGAAAUGAGAAUUUUUAUGAUAGUGGCUAGGAUCGAGUUUUCAGCUUUCAAAAUUCUCAGUAUAUACAUACAGAUCAUAUUACCAUUGGGAAAGCUUUUAUUAAUCUCAAUGUCAGAACUGUUUCAACAAAUCUACUGUAAUAAUGAAAAGACAUCUUAUCACAUUUUGCUCUCAGUAAAUUUGCUAUUCUUUGAUAAGGUUGCAAACAAGUGGGAAGUAAUUGAUCUCUAAUUAGUGUGGCAACUGCACAAGACAGACUGCAGUGGGAUUUCAUCAUUUAUCUGCCCUGUGCUGUGCAUCCCGCUCUGUAACAUUAAAUUAUUUACCUUCUCCCUUCAAAUAUAAAUGGUUUUAUGCAUCCUCCAUUAUUCUAGGACCUCUCUGAAGAUGAAAAUAACAUCUGAAUUUCUGAUUAUUUGUCAGUGGUAGAGUUACUGCUGUAGCGAUCAUUUUUCACACAUGCCUUGCCAUGUCCUUAGUUAGCAAGCCAUUGUCUGCCCAUGCCUGUGAAUGGACACAAAAAAAGACUCUUUGAUCUGUACCCAGUUUGUGCUAUUUGCCACUUGGCUGCACUAAACCUUCUGAUAUAUGUGAUUGCCAUAGCUUCUUCAAGAGUUCAUAGAAUUCUUCAAGAGCUGUGGUAACUAAAAGGCAUGAGUUUAACAUGCUAUGGUACAGCAUCACCAUCAUCACAUUCAUUACAGUUUCCAGUUACCCAGAUGCUGUCAGCCACUCUUUCCUAAGAGUGUGUUCCAGGCCAUAAUGAGUGUCCAUGGUGAGAAGAGUGGCUUUUCAAUAUUUUUAUUUUUUUUAGUAGCAUGACUCUUUAACAUUGUAAAAGCAUGUAAAUUGGAUGAGUUUCUUCAGUGCUCUAUCCUUCCUUAAGUGCAAAAAGUGCAGAGAAGGAGAUAGCUGGCUGUUGGCCUGGGAAAAGAAGUGGCCAUAGUUUAAUUCACAUAACUGAAGAUGUAAGUUCUUUGGAAUAUGAAGAAGAGAGAUAUGGCGUUACCUUUUUGUCACUUAGCUUCAUUUUCUUUUCAUUAAUUGUUACGUUAUUCUGUUCUCCAAGAAGUCAAAAGGAGAGUCUGUCACUUGAACCAAAAAGUGUCAGGACAGUCACAUAUUAGUUCAUAUCUAGCCUCUCAAACUUUAUUAACGUUUACUGUAUAACCAACACAGAAAAACAAGCAGAGCAGAAUAUCAAGUGACAGUCCUCCAGCACUGUAUUUAGUGACAUGAUGAAAUUGUAGAUAUUAGUUUCCAUUCUGUUUCUUACACAUUGAGAAACUGGCUUUUUCUCCACAGCUGUAUAAUAAAUUAGAAGUUUUUGAUGAGCUGAUCAAGUUGAUAUGCUGAGCUACUGUUACAGAGCAUAACAAUUAGCCCAAGAGCUUUAAAAAUUCUUUCCAGUAUAUAUUUGCUACCAGCUAAUUUCAUUUGUUCAUUUCCUUAGCUUUGUUGUGCCCUCUGAAAUGCCUCAUGGUGUCAUCAGUAUCAAUGAAACCAAUCUCAGUAUUCCUGCCUGUUCUCUAAUUGACAAUCACUAAUGUAUUAACACCACCAGUCCUGCCUCAGCACUUUGAAUAGAUCCUUUUCUGUUGUAUACAUGCUCUACUUCUCAUGAUUGCUGUACGUAGUGCUUGAGCUAUCCCUUUUUGAAGCGGCCCCCUUAAGAUUCAUCUCUUUUCAUAUAACAGUUGGAGAGUGUCUAGUCUAGUAAUAGAACAUGGGCAGCAUUUUUUUCUGCCUACCACUGAUAGCAUAUGUUUUGAUGAUUUGCAGGUUUCCCUGCAGCCUGUUUUCUAGUAAAAAUUACACAUGUGAUGAGAAAUAGACAUCUUCCCAAGUGCCCCACCAGAUCUCUGUCGUGCAGAGCUUCACAGAUGGUGCUCAGACUGCUGCCAGAUUUUCUGUGAAUGGAAGUGGUUUACUUGAGCUCAGUCAUACUUCAGAUCUGGUUGCAUAAAGUAUCUGCCCUUAUUUGACUUCUCCUGUGCUCAGACUUACUGAGGAAAUCAAACAGAAGCCGAACUUCAUUAAGAUACACUAAUGGGGAUCUGGCAGAAAGCCUCUGAACACACAACUAAAUGGCAAAGGGGUACAUAGCCAGCACAAAGUAGAGUGUGAUGAUCACAGCCCAAGGUGAACACUUUGCACAGGUCUUGUGGGUGGCAGCUGGGGCACAUUUGUCUGCUCACUCAGCCCCUUGGCAUGCUCAGGAGCUGAGGAGUGGCCUCCUCUGCCUGUGCCUGGUGGCCACGUCAACACAACUUGCUCAUGCAUUUGCCACGUAGUUUCCACAGCCUCUACCUAAGCUGGGAAGUAUGGUUUAAAGCUGUCAGUUCUGGUCUCAAACUGUUCUAAGAAGUAGGUGGUGGUUUACUGAAAAAAAAAAAAAAAGAAGAGGUCUGUGUGUUUUUUUCGGAAUGGCGAUAAGAAAAAGCAGGUGUAUAAAUAUGUGAAGAUUAGCACUUGGCUCAGGAGGUUGGUAGUUACAAUUAGCUUACUGAUAUAAAUCCAGUUCAGAUGACCCGAAUUAGCUACCAAGUGACAGACUGAUGUGCUGGGUGACGUGAGUUUGGUCCCCUUCAUUCAGAACAAAGGAGACAAGUGUCCUCCCUUGCAAAAUCCCACUGCUGAUGCUGUGGGCUGGCAGAAACAAGGAAGACUCCCACAGAGGCUUUAGAUGAUUUCCCACGCAGUGCUUUUGGCUCUGGGCCUGCUAAGUUUGGCCAUGGGGUGUGCACGUAUGCAUGCAUGUGUGUUCAGGGUACUGCAGAGCCUGUGCCUCUGCAAGCUGUAGGGCCACGACAGGGCGGGCAGAGCAGCGUAGCUCCACAGCCCUGGCAGGGGAGGAUAUCUCUCCUGGGGGACCAAGAAGCAAGAAGCACCACUGACUCUUCGCCAGGAGGAAGGUCACCCUCUUGGCUGUCCUUAAUCUUUAAGUAAGUGCAAAUCUGUUGAAGGUAGAGUUAAAUGGAAAUUAUUUCCAUAAACAAAAGCCAGUGGAAAUACGUUGAAUCCUGAUGAACCUACACAGACGUUGUGCGGUGGAAUGGAAAAAAAAUGAAACCCCCUACACAUGUAAACAUACAUAGAGCCUGCCAAAGUGGGAUGUGAUCAAAGCAAAAAGAUGCAAACAUAUGGACAAAUUUUUAGCAAAAGAAAAGCGUAGCCAAGUUCACUGACCUUUAUUUUAAUUUUCUUUAGUUCUCAGCCUUAUGAGGAGUGCAGGAAAUGGAAUGUGCUAAUCCCAGCUAGUACAGUCUCCAAGAAAGGUGCAAAAUCUCCCCGAACCAGAUAAAAUUGAAUGCAGCCAGAAGCCUGUUUAAUCAGCCCUCCCCCAGUGUCCUUCCAAAUAAAGCUCUCCUGAUACUCUAUCAGGGGCCACCAAAUGAGUCAACAAGGAACCUGCAGUGCAGCAGAGAGCUUGUUUUUAACAAUAUAUUAAUACAUCUCAUAGCAAGAUCACUUCAAUGAAAUGAGAAUUUAUUUGAAACACUGGGGGAUAUUUUUUUCAUAUGGCAAUGAAGAGCUUCUGAUUUUUUGUUGUUGCUCCAUUUCCUGCACCUCUGUUUAUUGUCACAUCAUUCCAUAGCACCCAGCAGAGCAAUAGGAAAUGUUGUUAGGGAGCACACUGACUAGGGGUUUAAAGUGACUUCUGGAGGCCUGUAUUUGCAUUUUUUCUGCGUGUGUGUGUGUUUUCUUUUUUAAAUCUUGUGAUGUUUUCAGCCUGCCGGUACAUGUUUAUGAACACUGAGGGUAGAAUUAGGAGUUUUCAUAUGAUUAUUAUUAUUUUGCAUGUACAGAGCUGUUUUCAUUCCGAAGUAUGAAUUUAAGGUGGAAAUCCUUGUCUGGCAAACAACUGAACACCUAUUGUGCAAACACACUAUAGCAGAAUGAUAUUAAGGGCCCAAGCUGAGGACAUUAACACAAUUUCAUGAGCAUCUCAUUCCUGUCUCUGAUCAGUCCAGUGAGAGCUCAAACUUUGGCUAUUCAUUGCAGAAGGCUAGACCCUUUCCUGCUCAUACCAGUGGGAGUUCUACCACUGACUUUUGUGGGGCUGGGAUUGGCUCAUCCGUAGGCUGCAGUUAGUGAGAAGAAAGGCUGCCAAAGUGACUCAUCAACUUGGGCUGACAGCAGAGCAGUGUCUUAGCUGUGCCACCUGCCAGCCCCAAAGCUGACUCACAAACAUGUGUAUCCUGCUUGAAAAGCUCUCCUAACGAGUGCACUGCUAUUUAACCUUUCUCUGUUUUCCCAAGCAUUUCUGAAGACAAAUCUUUUCUUUCAGCUGCCUGCUGGACCUCAGUGUCAGUGAUGCAUAGCAGGCUCAUGGGUUGUGUUUAGUUUUGACCUGACUUGCAACAGCGUUAUCAGUGAAGUUCACAGAAUGCUGUGAUGGAGCCAGUACAAAACCACAGGACACACAUACACUGUCUAAUCUUUAGGAUGCUGUCCUAAAUUAUAGUACAAGAUCUGUAAUAUGACAACUCUCUUAUUUGACUUUUAUAUGACUGCCUAUAAGCAUUUUUGCCCAUAUACUUUUUGUAAAACAGCACAGCACUUGAAGGAUUCAUGACUCAGCACUUUAUUAAACUGUUCAGUUUUUAUUCUCACUUGAAGGUAAUGCCAAUCCACAGUUUAUCCACUUAUAAUAUAGGUGAUACAGCAUCGUCAUAGUUAAUUCUUAUGAUAUGGGUUUUAACUGAGCACUGAUCCUGUAAUUAACAGACACUGUGAGACCACAGAAAUAGGAACACAAUUGAAAAUGUAGACAUUAUUGACCAGAAUGAAAGGUUUCAAUAGGAAGUAUCACGGUCUCUCAAGUAAGUGUUCUUUUCUGUUAUGUGAUGACAGGAAACCAAGAAAUGGCACAGAUCUGCUCCACGGGAGGCUCAGAAUGUACCUCAGGAAAAAAUUCUUUAUUGUGAGGGUGAUCAAAAACUUGGACACACUUCCUAGAGAGGUGGUUGAUGCUGCUCCCUUUCAGUGUUCAGGAGGCAUUUGGACAAUGCCCUCAGUAACAAGCUUUAUCUUUUGGUUGGCCUUGAAGCUGGGCUAGAUGAUCUCUGGAGAUCCCUUCCAACUGAACUAUUCUAAUCUAGUAUAAUCUUGUCUAGUCUACUACAGCUAAUUUUAAAAGAUAAAUGAUUGAAUGAAUUAAUGAUUAAAUAAAUAAAUAAAUACAGUUGUUUUCUUCUACUAUUUUUUUUGUUUGUUUGAAAAAAAAAAUAGGAACAGAAACAUUACUUCUUCCGAAGCAACCAAAAUUCAUGCUUAUUGUAUUUUUUUUUUUUUUGCUUCUGUUCUAAAAAAAAAAAAAAGGUUUCUUUUUUGUUUUAUCUCCUUAUCCUUUUCUGCUUGGCCAAUUUUCAGAUCUUCUGUAGAGUUUUCAAACUGCUGUGUAAAAAUUCUGCAACAUUUCUUUUCUUUAGCCACUCUGUAUCCUUUCUAAGCAUGAAAAUGUAUGUGAUGUGUGAAGGUGCAGAAAAGCAAGUACAAAUGAAAAUAUUAAAAACUAGCUGCCUGAGCAAAGGCAAAAGGGAAAAAGCAGGAAAAAGAGAAGAAAAUCUAAAAUGAUGACAUCUUAUCCGAAAAAAAAAAAAAAAAAAAAAAGGAAAGAAAGAAAGAAAGAA